ensembl:lncRNA
CGGAAUCUCACCGCAAGAAGCCUCCAGCGCAGGAGCGGUCCCCUGGCACCCAGGAUGUUUAUUGACCUUCCUGGCCCCCAUGGCGUCCCCGUAUCGGGGCUUGUGCCCACCACCGCCAACACCCAGAGCCACAAAUGGCCCGGGAGAGCACUUUCCCGCCGUGUACCGGUGCCUCCACGGCUCUCACAUGCAACUUGCUGUGCCCAGCUUCCCCCCUCGGGGACCGAGGGCACUUCUGUGCCCGGAGACACCACCAGCCAUAGAGGCCAGGGAAGGACACCACAUGAGGCAAGACCGGUUAGGUUCUAAACAGGGCAAGAAUACUGGAAUGGGUUGCCAUUUCCUCCUCCAAGGGAUCUUCCCAACCCAGAAAUAGAACCUGUGUCCCCUGUCUCCUGCUUGGCAGGUGGAUCAUUACCACUGAGCCACCUGGGAAGCCCUUAGUAUGAGUAACGAUAAGGCUUUGUAUUACACCUGGCCUUCCCAGAUGGCUCAGUGGUAAAGAAUCUACCUGCCAGUGCAGAAGACACAGGAGACAUGAGUUCCAUCCCUGAGUUUGGACGAUCCCCUGGAAACGAAAUGGCAACCCACUCCAGUAUUCUUGCCUUGAAAAUCCCAUGGACAGAGGAACCUGGUGGGCUACCAGCCAUGGGGUUUCAAAGAAUCAGAUGUUAUUGAACACAGAGGAGGAUCUGCUGGAGGAACCCCCCUGGGGCUGGAAUGAGGAACAGGGAUUGAGUACCCUGAAGGUUUAUGAAACAGCCAAAGAGAUUUCUUCAUAUUCAGGGAUAUACAUCCCUCUGCUCAGAUACAAUCUAAUUGGUGAAGGUGGGGCCCUUUGCUGCAUCAAUUUGAGGAGGAGCCCUGAUUUUUGGUUCUUACAGGUGGUGAGACCUAGAGAUUGACCUCCCAGAAAAAAGUACUGGCCCAGUUCUGGUGUCUCCAGAAGCAACUGCAUCAUUUAGAUGGUGUGGGAUUGUGUGAAGGAGGGUGUUUGGAGGUGGGCAUGUGUUGAAACCACAUAGUAUUACUGUGAAUCUGCCUGUCUGUGUAUAUCCUCAGAAAAAAAGAGGGACAUGUGCCCUCUUCAGCCUCACCUUUUCAUGCCAUGCCCUUCAUUCACACUUGCUCGUCCAGAUCUUCAUCAUCAUCAAUGACAUCCCCAAAGUGAAAGUGAAAGUGAAGUAGCUCAGUUGGGUCCAACUCUUUGGACCCCAUGGACUGUAGCCCACCAGGCUCCUCCAUCCAUGGGAUUCUCCAGGCAAGAAUACUGAAGUGGGUUGCCAUUUCCUUCUCCAGGGGAUCUUCCCAACCCAGGGAUCAAACCCAGGUCUCCCAAAUUGCAUGCAGAUGCUUUAACCUCGAGGCACCAGGGAAGCACAAUGACAUCUCCAAAAGCAUUCCUCAAAAAGAUUAACAGAGUUUUCUGACAUCUAGAAGGAAGAGAUCAGUCGGGCAGGUCCAAGCCCUUCCAGGGCAGGAAAGCAACCAUAUGCAGUAGCCCAGGGCAGUGCAGACUGUAUGGGGCCCAUUGAGCUGUGUGGGUCCAGACCUACUGACUCCAGCCUCAACUCCUGCUCAGGCCACUCAUGGUGACAAAGCCAGAUUCAAGGGUGCCGACCUGAGCUCAGGAGUGAGGACGAUGCUAAGAAAGUGGGGGAAGAGGGCUGCAGACAGAUUUCAUAUAUUUUAUAUAAGGUCCCAGGAACCCAGUUGCCUAUAAGAGACCUGGUCCUGCAGAAUGAUAAUCAUAAAAAGAUGGAAAGAGGAGAUGGGAAUAGGUUACAAGGAGAGUCUGUGGAUCAGAAAAAGAGAAAAGAAAAAAAAAAAAAAGAGAUAUGAAAGAAGAAAUAAAUGAUUUCCAUAUUCUUGCUCUUCUCUAAUUCUUCAUUAUCUGCUGUACAGUUUUCUGGUGUUGGUGGGCAGUAGUCAUGUGGAGUGGCUGUGAGAAAGUAAAAGGGCAAUUUAGAGUCAGGAUGUGACCAGGGGACCCUGUGCUCCUCAGAGCCUGGACUUGGGCCCCUGGUGUCCUUGUCUCCAGGGUCCUCCCAGGACCUCAGUGUUUUAUGCUUCAGUGAAAAAGUGGGUCUCUGACCUCCAAAAUCCUGUUGCCACCCUCAACUUGUCUACAUGUGACCAGGAAUGAGGCUGUGCCUCCUCCAAGUGCUCACUGUCUCCAUGAGUCUCUGCCCACGACCUUGUGAGAGAGUCAUUUCCUAGGCAGUUUGAUAAGAAGUCUGG